CAAUUCUUUGAACUCUUCACUCUUCACUCUUCACUGCAGCAUUUGCCCUCAAAGCCCUAAUCGGCUCUAUUCUAUUUAUUCUGAAACAAGAUCCACGGCUUCGAAACUAUGACUUUCAAGCGCAGGAAUGGCGGACGUAACAAGCACGGCCGUGGACACGUCAAGUUUAUCCGCUGCUCCAACUGCGGCAAAUGCUGCCCCAAGUGCAAGUAUCGAUGUUGCAACUGCGAGCGAGACAAACGGAUUCGUGUCUACCGAGUUCUGCGGCUUUAAUCUUGAAUUUUGUAUUAUUUUGUUUUUUUUGAGAUGGUUUCUGUGUUUUGCCUUACCUUCUGUAUGUGUAGCUUUCUAGUUUUAUAUCAAUGUUAUUUU